GCCAGCAUGGUGUUGUGGUUUGAACACUAGGCUAGGAGUCUGGAGAACAGGGUUCGAAUCCCAGCUUGGCC